rnacentral:tRNA from 1 species
AGGAAAAACAGGUGGUGGAGCGGGGCUGCUAACUUUGCUUUGGGUAGUUCGAGUCUAUUCUUUUCCUU